rnacentral:tRNA from 1 species
GGAAAUGUAGCUCAGUUUGUGGAGUUCUUGCCUUGAAUGCAGAUGGCCCUAGAUUCAAUCCCCAGCACUACCA